GACAUAUGGGGCGAGCGUUACUCGGAAUCACUAGGCGUAAAGCGCGUGUAGGCGGAUAUGUAAGUCUGCUGUGAAAUCUCCCGGCUCAACUGGGAGCGUGCGGUGGAAACUACAUGUCUAGAGUUAGGUAGGGGUUAGCGGAAUUCCAGGUGUAGCGGUGAAAUGCGUAGAUAUCUGGAGGAACACCGAUGGCGAAAGCAGCUAACUGGGCCUUGACUGACGCUGAGACGCGAAAGCUGGGGUAGCAAACAGG
rnacentral:misc_RNA from 1 species